AGGUAGCAAUACCGGGUGGCGACCGGCGCACGGGUGAGUAACGCGUAUGCAACUUACCUAUCAGAGGGGAACAACAGUUAGAAAUGACUGCUAAUACCGCAUAUACCCAAGUGUCACAUGAUUCAAAAGGGAAAGAAGCAAUCCGCUGAUAGAUGGGCUUGCGUCUGAUUAGCUAGUUGGUGGGGUAACGGCCUACCAAGGCGACGAUCAGUAGCCGGACUGAGAGGUUGAACGGCCACAUUGGGACUGAGAUACGGCCCAGACUCC
rnacentral:rRNA from 1 species